AUAAAACAAUAAAGAAUCUGAACAAUAAAGGAAUAUGAGCAGCAGGAAUUCCAAAGUAGUGGUGUACGUCUGCCCACGGGAUUGCCGGAUUGUGCCUGCUCGUAAUGAUAAUAAAAAAGUGAUAUUAUAGUAUUAUUUUAGUGAAAAGGAGAAAGAAAAAAAAACAUUGGAAAGUGUCACUUGAUUUAAUCUGUAUUCUGAUGGAUGCGAUUGUGCUGCCAGCAAAGUUGACAUGUGAAAGUCACAAAGAAAGAGGGAGUGAUGAUGGUGGCAGGGUUGGAGGUCACGCCAGCCACACCAAUGCUUUUGUAUUUUGGACUAUAAAACCAUUCCUCUUCCCUGCUUAACAUUUUCAUUCCUCUCUUCACUCUUGUUUUGCUCUUCCCUCCCUCUGCACUGCACACGCAACAUGAACGGGAAAGCCUCCAUCUCUAAGGAGCUCAAUGCCAAACACGCCAAGAUCUUGGAAGAACUUCUUAAGCUGCCCGAGAACAGGGAAUGUGCAGACUGCCGGAACAGGGCACCACGAUGGGCUAGUGUUAACCUAGGGAUUUUCAUUUGCAUGCAAUGUUCGGGAAUUCACCGAAGCCUCGGAGUUCAUAUAUCAAAGGUGCGGUCCACAACUUUAGAUACGUGGUUGCCAGACCAAGUUUCUUUCAUGCAAUGUAUGGGUAAUGUAAAGUCAAAUAAGCACUGGGAAGCAGAAAUGCCACUAAAUUUUGAUAGAAGUAAAUUGGCAAUGGAGAAGUUUAUCCGUAUGAAGUAUGUGGAGAAAAAAUGGGCUUCAAAAGAUGAAGUGCACUCAACAUCAAAUGGAGGCAUUCCGAAGAACAACAGGAGACUCUCUCUUGAAGAAAGCAUUCUUGCAAACCACGUCGCACAAAUUCUACCACCAAUAACAAGACCUCGAGGGGAUUUUAUAGACACGCAAAAGAAGAACUCUCCUCCAUUUAAAAGACCAUCCUCGUCUGUUGAUUUUGACAAGUCCACCAAGAGCAUCGCUACUGGGGACAUUUUCAACUUGCUUUGCAUCUAUGACGAUAACCAAAAUUUCUCAACAGUGCCACCUUCAACUUGGGCAACAUUUGAUUAUGUCACAACAUUAUAGUUUCUUUUGAAGUGGUGAAGUGGCAUGAGCCUUUUGCUGCAUAAGGUUAGUGUAUGCAUUUUUCCAUUUUUUAUUUUUUUAACAAUGUGAUUUGUACUUCAUAUUUUGGUGAAUCUCUAGAUUUUCUUUCAUUUCCUUACUUUCUAAUAUCUGAUGUUCUUAAAUUUACCUGAACUAUAGCCAAGUUAAUUCCACAGUACUUUUUAUACGAGUAAUAUAAGGUUUGUUUGACUACACUGUUUUGAACCAGACAUGUACAAACUUUGGUGCUGAAAUUGGGCAUAUGAUGGCUUGAUUUACAUUAUAGUUCAUUGUUCUUACAGCAUUACCUAAUAUAAGAUGAACAAGAGGAGGGAGGACAUUGUAGUUAUAUUUCUAUGACUCAUAGUAAUGCCAAAUUGGCUUACCAUGAGAAGUAAUCCCACCAUAUCAUGUGUCCACAAAGGCAUCACAACAUCUAAAUGCACCCGAGAAGACCCCAAUCAUUAUCAUAAUAAACCAUUGUUAACACUCGUAGUGAUUAGUCAUUAUGAUUACAUUUUGAUGAUGACGGAACGUUCAUCUUCAUGUUAGAUAUUGAGGGUUAUAAUAUCUUAUGAUAGUUAUAAUAUUAUAUGUAUUUGGA